rnacentral:rRNA from 1 species
UACAGAGGUGCCAAGCGUUAGGCGGAAUCACUGGGCUUAAAGCGUGUGUAGGCGGACUUGUAAGUACCUUGUGAAAUCCCACGGCUCACCCGUGGAACUGCUGGGUAUACUGCGAGUCUUGAGCCACUUAGGGGCUGUCGGAACAGGCGGUGGAGCGGUGAAAUGCGUAGAUAUCGCCUGGAACGCCAAAGGUGAAAACAGACAGCUGGGAGUGUGCUGACGCUGAGACACGAAAGCCAGGGGAGCGAACGGG